UGGAAAAGUUCGUUCACCAGAAGCAAAAAUCUUACAAUGUGUUUCUGGCUGAGUUAAGAGAAAAUAUAUUUCAAAAUUUUUUUGUUGUUGUUAACAAUUUGUUGCCAAAUAAAUUGAAAUUAUUCAAAAGCAUUGAAAUUAGCUUAAUCAGUAUGUCUGUCUUCUGAAAUGUGAGAUGAAUGAGUACCUUUCAUUUAUAAUGCAACAAAAGAGAAUAUCCUGCACUUUGCAACUGAAACUACCUUUAGUCCACAUUCACGAAUUACAGCAUGUCAGACAAAGAAACGGAUUUGUUUGGUGCAAUAAGUGAUAGCAGACCUUUACAUAUUUGAAGUGCAACAGAUGGCCUUCCAAGAAGAGCAUAAUGACUGGCAGACAGUACUCUUCGUUAGAGUGGCUUGGAAUGUCUUCAGCAAUUACACAGAGAGUAUUCUGGGGGGGAAGCCCUGUCAUCUCUAUGAUUCUUCUCAUGUAAAUAGCUGUGAUUUCCCUGUUUAGAUGCUAAAAAAUUGUCUUCUACAACCCAACAAGCUAGCCAAUGAACUGGAAAAGGAAGCACCUUUGGCCCUCCCAAGGCUAUUCAAGAUGAGGCUCCAGACAUUUUGUCACCUGGGAGAUAUGUUUGCUGUUUAAUACAAUGGAAAGAAUGUUUUCUUCCAUCUGGCCCAGUGGUAUCAAGCACCAUUUGUAUGAAGACAAUGAGCACAAGACUGUUCAAUCUCAAAAGCAUCCUACUUGCUCUCUGGACCACAUAGCAUUGAGCUAACACAUCUCCUAUAAUCCCACAGUUCUGUUACUAAGAAGCAAUAGUUUAUAACCAUCACAAUAUUUCAUGAUUAAAAUAAAACAGUUUUCAGUAUGAACACCUUUCGACUGAGCUAUUGAGUCCUUCCCAAAGAAGGAUCAGAAGAGCUCCCGAGCCUCAGGUGCAAGGUGGAGGGAGCCGAGGAAAUCUGCCAGAAGGUUGCUUUGCAGUCUCUCCUUUAGGUCUUUCCAACCUUGAUGACAGAAGCCACAACAUAUGGAGCAUUAGUUAGGAACACACUCCUCCCAUGAACGAUGAAGGCAACAGUUGUACCAAGGCA